rnacentral:rRNA from 1 species
UACGGAGGGUGCUAGCGUUGUUCGGAAUUACUGGGCGUAAAGAGCACGUAGGCGGGGCUCGUAAGUCGAUUGUGAAAGCCCCCGGGCUCAAUCCGGGAAUUGCAGUCGAAACUACGAGUCUUGAAUGCCCAAGAGGGUGACGGAAUUCCUGGUGUAGAAGUGAAAUUCGUAGAUAUCAGGAGGAACACCGGAGGCGAAGGCGGUUGCCUGGUGGUGCAUUGACGCUGAGGUGCGAAAGCGUGGGGAGCAAACAGG